rnacentral:rRNA from 1 species
AUUGAACGUUGGCGGCAGGCCUAAUACAUGCAAGUCGAACGAGAAAGGUCCUUCUGGGGCCGAGUAAAGUGGCGGACGGGUGAGUAACGCGUAGGAAUCUACCCAGUUGUGGGGGACAACUCGAGGAAACUCGAGCUAAUACCGCAUAGUCUCCUUUUCUUCGGAAGGGGAGUAAAGAAGGCCUCUAUUUAUAAGCUUUCGCAAUUGGAGGAGCCUGCGUUGGAUUAGUUUGUUGGUGGGGUAAUGGCCUACCAAGACUGCGAUCCAUAGCUGGUCUGAGAGGACGAUCAGCCACACUGGAACUGAGACACGGUCCAGACUCCUACGGGGGGCAGCAGUAGGGAAUCUUGGGCAAUGGGCGAAAGCCUGACCCAGCCAUGCCGCGUGUGUGAAGAAGGCUCUAGGGUUGUAAAGCACUUUCAGUGGUGAAGAUAAGCUGUGGGUUAAUACCCCGCGGUCUAGACGUUAACCACAGAAGAAGAUCCGGCUAACUCCGUGCCAGCAGCCGCGGUAAUACGGAGGGAUCGAACGUUAAUCGGAUUUACUGGGCGUAAAGCGCGCGUAGGCGGUUCGUUAAGUGGGAUGUGAAAGCCUUGGGCUUAACCUGAGAAUUGCAUUCCAUACUGAUGAACUAGAGUGUGAUAGAGGGAGGUAGAAUUUCCUGUGUAGCGGUGAAAUGCGUAGAUAUAGGAAGGAAUACCAGUGGCGAAGGCGGCCUCCUGGAUCAACACCGACGCUCAGGUGCGAAAGCGUGGGGAGCAAACAGGAUUAGAUACCCUGGUAGUCCACGCCGUAAACGAUGACAACUAGCCGUCGGGGCCCUUGAGGCUUUGGUGGCGCAGCUAACGCGAUAAGUUGUCCGCCUGGGGAGUACGGCCGCAAGGCUA